AGUGAACGCUGGCGGUAGGCCUAACACAUGCAAGUCGAACGGCAGCACAGUAAGAGCUUGCUCUUACGGGUGGCGAGUGGCGGACGGGUGAGGAAUACAUCGGAAUCUACUUUUUCGUGGGGGAUAACGUAGGGAAACUUACGCUAAUACCGCAUACGACCUACGGGUGAAAGCAGUGGAUCUUCGCACCUUUCCUGAUUCAAUGAGCCGAUGUCGGAUUAGCUAGUUGGCGGGGUAAAGGCCCACCAAGGCGACGAUCCGUAGCUGGUCUGAGAGGAUGAUCAGCCACACUGGAACUGAGACACGGUCCAGACUCCUACGGGAGGCAGCAGUGGGGAAUAUUGGACAAAGGGCGCAAGCCUGAUCCAGCCAUACCGCGUGGGUGAAGAAGGCCUUCGGGUUGUAAAGCCCUUUUGUUGGGAAAGAAAAGCAGCAGAUUAAUACCCCGCUGUUCUGACGGUACCCAAAGAAUAAGCACCGGCUAACUUCGUG
rnacentral:rRNA from 1 species